GACGAACGCUGGCGGCGUGCUUAACACAUGCAAGUCGAACGGUAAGGCUCCAGCUUGCUGGGGUACACGAGUGGCGAACGGGUGAGUAACACGUGGGUGACCUGCCCUGCACUUCGGGAUAAGCCUGGGAAACUGGGUCUAAUACCGGAUAGGACCGCACCGUGAGGGUGUGGUGGAAAGUUUUUUCGGUGUGGGAUGGGCCCGCGGCCUAUCAGCUUGUUGGUGGGGUAAUGGCCUACCAAGGCGGCGACGGGUAGCCGGCCUGAGAGGGUGAACGGCCACAUUGGGACUGAGACACGGCCCAGACUCCUACGGGAGGCAGCAGUGGGGAAUAUUGCACAAUGGGCGGAAGCCUGAUGCAGCGACGCCGCGUGGGGGAUGACGGCCUUCGGGUUGUAAACUCCUUUCACCAUCGACGAAGGGUUUCUGACGGUAGAUGGAGAAGAAGCACCGGCUAACUACGUGCCAGCAGCCGCGGUAAUACGUAGGGUGCGAGCGUUGUCCGGAAUUACUGGGCGUAAAGAGCUCGUAGGUGGUUUGUCGCGUCGUCUGUGAAAUUCCGGGGCUUAACUCCGGGCGUGCAGGCGAUACGGGCAUAACUUGAGUACUGUAGGGGAGACUGGAAUUCCUGGUGUAGCGGUGAAAUGCGCAGAUAUCAGGAGGAACACCGGUGGCGAAGGCGGGUCUCUGGGCAGUAACUGACGCUGAGGAGCGAAAGCAUGGGGAGCGAACAGGAUUAGAUACCCUGGUAGUCCAUGCCGUAAACGGUGGGCGCUAGGUGUGGGUUUCCUUCCACGGGAUCCGUGCCGUAGCUAACGCAUUAAGCGCCCCGCCUGGGGAGUACGGCCGCAAGGCUAAAACUCAAAGGAAUUGACGGGGGCCCGCACAAGCGGCGGAGCAUGUGGAUUAAUUCGAUGCAACGCGAAGAACCUUACCUGGGCUUGACAUAUACAGGAUCGCGCCAGAGAUGGUGUUUCCCUUGUGGCUUGUAUACAGGUGGUGCGUGGUUGUCGUCAGCUCGUGUCGUGAGAUGUUGGGUUAAGUCCCGCAACGAGCGCAACCCUUGUCUUAUGUUGCCAGCACGUUGUGGUGGGGACUCGUAAGAAACUGCCGGGGUUAACUCGGAGGAAGGUGGGGAUGACGUCAAAUCAUCAUGCCCCUUAUGUCCAGGGCUUCACACAUGCUACAAUGGUCGGUACAGUGGGUUGCCAGUCCGUGAGGGCGAGCUAAUCCCGCAAAGCCGGUCUCAGUUCGGAUCGGGGUCUGCAACUCGACCCCGUGAAGUCGGAGUCGCUAGUAAUCGCAGAUCAGCAACGCUGCGGUGAAUACGUUCCCGGGCCU
rnacentral:rRNA from 1 species